GCACGGAUGGCUGAGUGGUCUAAAGCGUCAGACUCAAGAUCUGAUGAACGUAAGUUCGCAUGGGUUCGAACCCCAUUUCGUGCAUAUUUAAAAAGGCAUA
rnacentral:tRNA from 1 species